GGAAUUUUGGACAAUGGGCGCAAGCCUGAUCCAGCAAUGCCGCGUGAGUGAAGAAGGCCUUCGGGUUGUAAAGCUCUUUUGUCAGGGAAGAAACGGGUCUUUCUAAUACAGAGAUCUAAUGACGGUACCUGAAGAAUAAGCACCGGCUAACUACGUGCCAGCAGCCGCGGUAAUACGUAGGGUGCAAGCGUUAAUCGGAAUUACUGGGCGUAAAGCGUGCGCAGGCGGUUUUGUAAGACUGUCGUGAAAUCCCCGGGCUCAACCUGGGAAUGGCGAUGGUGACUGCAAGGCUAGAGUUUGGCAGAGGGGGGUAGAAUUCCACGUGUAGCAGUGAAAUGCGUAGAUAUGUGGAGGAACACCGAUGGCGAAGGCAGCCCCCUGGGUCAAAACUGACGCUCAUGCACGAAAGCGUGGGGAGCAAACAGGAUUAGAUACCCGGG
rnacentral:rRNA from 1 species